GGGAUAAUCCAUGGAAACGUGGACUAAUACCGCAUAUUGAAUAUUUACCGCAUGGCAGAUAUUUGAAAGAUUUAUCGCUUAUGGAUGGACUCGCGUCAGAUUAGCUAGUUGGUGAGGUAAAGGCUCACCAAGGCGACGAUCUGUAGCCGAACUGAGAGGUUGAUCGGCCGCAUUGGGACUGAGACACGGCCCAGACUCCUACGGGAGGCAGCAGUGGGGAAUAUUGCGCAAUGGGGGGAACCCUGACGCAGCAACGCCGCGUGCAGGAAGAAGGUCUUCGGAUUGUAAACUGUUGUCGCAAGGGAAGAAGACAGUGACGGUACCUUGUGAGAAAGUCACGGCUAACUACGUGCCAGCAGCCGCGGUAAUACGUAGGUGACAAGCGUUGUCCGGAUUUACUGGGUGUAAAGGGCGCGUAGGCGGACUGUCAAGUCAGUCGUGAAAUACCGGGGCUCAACCCCGGGGCUGCGAUUGAAACUGACAGCCUUGAGUAUCGGAGAGGAAAGCGGAAUUCCUAGUGUAGCGGUGAAAUGCGUAGAUAUUAGGAGGAACACCAGUGGCGAAGGCGGCUUUCUGGACGACAACUGACGCUGAGGCGCGAAAGUGUGGGGAGCAAACAGGAUUAGAUACCCUGGUAGUCCACACCGUAAACGAUGCAUAAUGGGUGUAGG
rnacentral:rRNA from 1 species